UUAGGGAGGGGCGUGGACAAGAGAGAAAGACACAAUAGUCAGUUCGACAGGUCCGCGUCCUCCUACGGAGGGAGAUGCGAGGUUAGUGCGGGAACUGUUGCUGCGAGACUGCGGUCGUCCAAUAGAACGGUGACCUUGUUCGAUGAGCCACGCUAACUCUUCACCUAACCAUAACAUUUCAAACAGAAACAGAAACAACGGUAACAGCCCUGGAGGAUCAACUGUUUGUGUUGCAGCUAUUUCACGUUAGCAUAUUUUUUGGGUUUAGCCAAUGCAAAGAAAACAGGAAGGUAGGAAUGCAUACAUUAACGACACAGACUGUUCCUUUGACUCCGUCAAGCAUAACUGAGGCGUGACUUGAACCCCCUAACAGAAGGCUCCAUCACCGCUGGAGGCACAUUUCAGCUUCUGGAUUAAUUUCCUUCGUUAAUAUACAUAAUAACACCACUGGCUUUUCAACGUUUGGAGAUGAAGGGCUCAGAUGGACAGCUUGCAGUAGCCACGCAAUUUAAACCGCUGUGAUUAUAGUGCACACAAUGGGAGUGAGCCAAAAAAGCUGGGUAAGUUUGAGUCUAAUAUAUAUACAUAUAUAUGUGAAUGUAUAUAUAUAUAUAUGAAUGUAAAUAUAUAUGUAAACAUAUGUGUAUAUAUGUAAAUAUAUGUGUAAAUAUAUAUGUAAAUAUAUAUGUAAAUAUAUAUAUAUGGACCUACAGGCAUGCAUGCACACACAACACUCACACAUAUAUACCUGAAUUGGGCAACGCAGGCAGUUGCCUAGAGCAUAAUUAUUAUAGAAACAUAUAUAAAAAUAUAUUUUCAAAAAUAUUCCCUAUAUAUUUUUUUUAUUUUUAUUUUUCAACAUACUCUCAAAUCAGGAAUCUUUCUUUACUGAAGUAUUUUUCCAGGCUUCCAGGGUUGAGAUGCAGAAACAUCUUCUGUUAAACCGAACUGUCAUCAACAGAUUAAUUAUUCUCCGUGAAACCUGGACGAGCAGAUCACCUGACGCCUAAUGGCUACAUCUAACAUGCACGGACAAACAACUAAAAAUUGUUUCUACACCAAGGUCAACGUCUGCUUUCAUAAUAAAUAUCGACAUGGAGCGCAGAGGCUUUCAACAGACAUAAAAACUGCUUGCUUAUGGAAAAGAACGUUUAGCCGAGGUUACAUUAAGGUAAUUUAUGAUAAGUAAACACACAUUUAAGUAAAGUCCUGAUUUAGCAAAACUAACAUGUUCCAUCUUCAGUCUGUAAAAGGCUGCUUGACUUAGACAAAUAAAAAAAUCAAAAUAAAGAUUGAGUCAAUGUUGGAGUUACACCUCGUGAGAUGAACGUCAGAGGAGAACUCUGGAAUCAGAUACUGCCGCGGCGCUAUCAUUUUCUUCCUCAUUUCACAGUGGGAAAAUUGUUUGUGCGAUCAACUCGUUAUCAGACCUUCUAGGUUUACAUUCUACACAACCAUUAGCUCAGUAAUCUGCAAUUACUGCAACAGGCAGAAAUCACUGUAAUUGCCCCCAUUUCCCCUUCAGUCUAAAAAGCAUGUUUUCAUAGUAAGCGCUGGGCUAUUAAGGAUGGAUGGCCUGUGCUUUAAAGCAGUGCCUGCUGGGAAGGGGAAAAAAAAAAAAAAAAAA